UACAGAGGGUGCGAGCGUUAAUCGGAAUUACUGGGCGUAAAGCGCGCGUAGGCGGCUCUGCAAGUCGGGUGUGAAAUCCCCAGGCUUAACCUGGGAACUGCAUUCGAGACUGCAUUGCUAGAGUAUGGGAGAGGGAAGUGGAAUUUCCGGUGUAGCGGUGAAAUGCGUAGAUAUCGGAAGGAACACCAGUGGCGAAAGCGGCUUCCUGGUCCAGCACCGACGUGCAGGCACGAAAGCGUGGGGAGCAAACAGG
rnacentral:rRNA from 1 species